CUUAUAGUGAAUGUUUUCUCUCGGUUCUAGUUUUUAUCCGGAUUUGUUUUCUCUCAAACGAUUUAUAUAUUAUCACGGAAGUCAUUGCACCAAUUAAGGGUUCCAAAUGGAAAAGUUGAAGUCAUCCCUCCGAGAGUAUUGAUAUCAUUUGCAAUGUGUAACACGAUGGUUGUUAUAAUUGUGCAGAAACUACUUACCAGUCCAGAGCAUAUGGUUUGUUUCUGUGUUAGUCAUAUCGCUUCUUGCAUAUUCAAGUUCUUAUACAUCAUAGGUUUCUAGAGAUGGAAAAUGUUAUACUAACUUUUUAUUUUCAUUUUCUGCAACUAUUAUUAUGAAAAUCAUAAAAAUACUGAACUCCGAGGAUAAUUACAAAGGAAAGUCCCUAAUCUAAUUGAAAAAUCUAAAGCUAAAACACAUCAAGCGUAAGACAACAACUGUCAUAUUCCUAACUUGGUACGGUCAUUUUCUUAUGUAGAAAAUGGUGGACUAAACCUGGUUUUAAAGCUAGAAAAACCUCUCACUUGUAUGACAGUUCCAUCAAAUUUCAUUAUAUUGACAACGACAUGUGAUCAAAACAAACAGACAUAAUAGGUAAAAAUGUCCAUAAUAAGGAUACAGCAGUCAACAUUGUGUUAUAUUCUUAAGCACUAUAAAAACAAACAAAUAUGUAACAAAGAAGCACAAAAAGGUAUAUAAACAAAGCACAUAAGCAAAAAUGAAAGACAAAAAUACAAAAAAAAAAUUAAUCAACGUACAAUAACGGGAUGUAUAAGUCCAGAGAAAUGUCAUUUGAAUCAAGAAAGCACAUUAGCAAAAAUGAAAGACAAGAAUACGAGAAUUAUCAUAGAACAAUAACACAAUGACGGGAUGUAUAAGUACAAAGUCACGUCAAAUGGAUAUCAAUAAAAGCAGGCUAAACAAUAAAAACGGUAUUCAUAAAGACAAAGAAAAGAACACUAUAGCACGUUAUUAAGAUGAUUAACAACUUUAGUACCCACAAUGUAUACUUCAGAUCCAUCGUGUAUUAUUUGUAAAACACAGAUUCAUCAGUCGUGUGAGCUAUACUCGCUGUUUUGCAAGUAAAGUGAUUGUCCCUACCAAUCCAUCUACCAAGUGAUUUGAUUUUGAUAAACAAUUCUAUUGUUACUAUUCUGUUUAUGAGUUAUUAAAAAGUAAUGAAAUUUCUAGUUGCAACUCCCUCGGGCA
rnacentral:lncRNA from 1 species